rnacentral:rRNA from 1 species
AUUGAACGCUAGCGGGAUGCCUUACACAUGCAAGUCGAACGGAGUGGCGAACGGGUGAGUAAUGUAUCGGAACGUGCCCAGUAGCGGGGGAUAACUACGCGAAAGCGUAGCUAAUACCGCAUACUAUUGGAGCGGCCGAUAUCGGAUUAGCUAGUUGGUGGGGUACCGGCUCACCAAGGCGACGAUCCGUAGCUGGUUUGAGAGGACGACCAGCCACACGGGGACUGAGACACGGCCAGGACUCUUACGGUAGGCAGAAUGGGGGAAUAUGGCACAAGGGGCGAAAGCCUGAUGCAGCCAUGCCGCGUGUAGGAAGAAGGCCUUAGGGUUGUAAAGUACUUUCAGAGGGGAGGCGUUACCCGCAGAAGAAGCACCGGCUAACUCCGUGCCAGCCGCCGCGGUAAUUC